GAUCAUGGCUCAGGAUGAACGCUAGCUACAGGCUUAACACAUGCAAGUCGAGGGGAACGAUAUUGGAAGCUUGCUUCCGAUAGGCGUCGACCGGCGCACGGGUGAGUAACGCGUAUCCAACCUGCCCAUCACUUGGGAAUAACCUUGCGAAAGUAAGACUAAUGCCCAAUGACAUUUAUAGAAGGCAUCUGAAAUGAAUUAAGAUUUAUCGGUGAUGGAUGGGAUGCGU
rnacentral:rRNA from 1 species